UUCAAUGCAAUAGUAUGUAUG
rnacentral:piRNA from 1 species